rnacentral:lncRNA from 1 species
UGGGAGGGAUGGAGACCUGUGUCAUUCAACAGCAGUGACCCCUUCUGGCCAAUUUAAGGAGAAGCAUUGAGGGGCCCUGAAAGGAGUCACUUCCAGUCCUCCUCAGAGAUUGCUAGCAUUGCUCGUUCUCCGGUGUCAGGCUGCGCACUAAGGACAUAAACUCGCGUGGUUGUUACACAUCAGGAGGCGAUGUUUAUUUCCUGUAGAAAUCCAAUAUGCGUCUCGGCCCACCCCCGACAUUGAGACUUGACCCUGUUGUGCAGUGCACAGAGUGUGUCUGUCCUAGGUCCCCCAAGCUCCUCCCACUGUUGUUUUAAGCUGAGCUUCUCUCCCCUAAGGUUUCCCUGUAAUAAUGUCAGCUGCUGUUCACAGGAUGUGAUGGUGGUAGGAGAGCCAACUCUGAUGGGAGGUGAGUUUGGGGACGAGGACGAAAGGCUAAUCACUAGAUUAGAAAACACGCAGUAUGAUGCG